rnacentral:rRNA from 1 species
UCAUUACCGAGAAAGCGCGCGGAGGGGAGGACCCUCCGGCGCUGACUUACCAAACCCUCUGUGUACCUUACCUUUGUUGCUUCCCGCUGGGUUCGCGCCCGGCGGGGAGGUCCACAAAACUCAUGUUUUCCUUGCAGUCAGUAAAAGCGGUUCGUCCGCGAAAAUUAAAAGUUAAAACUUUCAACAACGGAUCUCUUGGUUCUCGCAUCGAUGAAGAACGCAGCGAAAUGCGAUAAGUAGUGUGAAUUGCAGAAUUCAGUGAAUCAUCGAAUCUUUGAACGCACAUUGCGCCCUCUGGUAUUCCGGAGGGCAUGCCUGUCCGAGCGUCGUCAAACCCCCUCAAGCUCCUUUGCUUGGUCAUGGCGGAAGAUCGCCUCCUCGGAGGCGUUCCCCGCUCAAAGGGAUCUGGCGUGCGGACCCGUACUCGCAGACGUAGUAAGCAAUUCUAUCGUCUGUCGGGCUCGGGCCGCUCCGCCGACGCAACCCACAUUUUUUCUAGGUUGACCUCGGAUCAGGUAGGGAUACCCGCUGAACUUAAGCAUA